rnacentral:rRNA from 1 species
GACAUAGGUCGCGAACGUUAGGCGGAAUCACUGGGCUUAAAGCGUGUGUAGGCGGAUGCCUAAGUACCUUGUGAAAUCCCACAGCUCAACUGUGGAACUGCUUGGUAUACUGGGUGUCUUGAGCCACUUAGGGGUUACCGGAACAAAUGGUGGAGCGGUGAAAUGCGUAGAUAUCAUUUGGAACGCCAAUGGUGAAAACAGGUAACUGGGAGUGUGCUGACGCUGAGACACGAAAGCCAGGGGAGCGAACGGG